rnacentral:rRNA from 1 species
UACGUAGGGUGCGAGCGUUAAUCGGAAUUACUGGGCGUAAAGCGUGCGCAGGCGGUUUUGUAAGCCAGAUGUGAAAUCCCCGGGCUCAACCUGGGAAUGGCAUUUGGGACUGCAAGGCUGGAGUUUGGCAGAGGAGACUGGAAUUCCCGGUGUAGCAGUGAAAUGCGCAGAUAUCAGGAGGAACACCUAUGGCGAAGGCAGCUCGCUGGGACGGUACUGACGCUGAGGCGCGAAAGCGUGGGGAGCGAACAGG